AACGAACGCUGGCGGCAGGCUUAACACAUGCAAGUCGAGCGCCCCGCAAGGGGAGCGGCAGACGGGUGAGCAACGCGUGGGAAUCUACCCAUCUCUACGGAAUAACGCAUGGAAACGUGUGCUAAUACCGUAUACGUCCUUCGGGAGAAAGAUUUAUCGGCGAUGGAUGAGCCCGCGUUGGAUUAGUUAGUUGGUGGGGUAAAGGCCUACCAAGGCGACGAUCCAUAGCUGGUCUGAGAGGAUGAUCAGCCACACUGGGACUGAGACACGGCCCAGACUCCUACGGGAGGCAGCAGUGGGGAAUAUUGGACAAUGGGCGCAAGCCUGAUCCAGCCAUGCCGCGUAAGUGAUGAAGGCCCUAGGGUUGUAAAGCUCUUUCACCGGUGAAGAUAAUGACGGUAACCGGAGAAGAAGCCCCGGCUAACUUCGUGCCAGCCGCCGCCGUAACAC
rnacentral:rRNA from 1 species